rnacentral:rRNA from 1 species
UACGGAGGGUGCGAGCGUUGUCCGGAAUCACUGGGCGUAAAGGGCGCGUAGGUGGCGUCGCAAGUCAACGGUGAAAGCUCGACGCUCAACGUCGAGUCGGCCGUCGAGACUGCGAGGCUUGAGCACUGUAGAGGCAGAUGGAAUUCCGGGUGUAGCGGUGGAAUGCGUAGAGAUCCGGAAGAACACCGGUGGCGAAGGCGGUCUGCUGGGCAGUAACUGACGCUGAGGAGCGAAAGCGUGGGGAGCGAACAGG